UGCGUGGCUGGGAUCGAACAAACAGGGGGGAAAGCAAGGUGAAACCCUUGUUUUGCAUAUUCAAUCAAUUGAUGUGAAAAUUCAAGGAUAAUCUAGUGCAUGAACUUCAAUUUACACUCAUCUAAACUCGAAUAUUGAAGUGGCGUGAAAGAAGAAGGUUCAAACACUAGGAAAUCGGAAGGCUCACAAGAUCGAGGUAAAUCCUCAACAUAAGCGAUUGGACGAUUUGGAACGAGCACACAUGAUCUAUGCCCACCUCACGCUUCCGACAAUGCUAACUUAAUGUGGUCUUAAUUUUUGGUUUUAUGUACUUUCAACUUAUGUAGUCUUUUGAUGUCCUUGUAGUAUGGUCAAUGACUUUGUCGUAGUAGUCUUGUUUUUUUAACAAUGUAGAUAAUGUCCGUUUCCGGUUUUGAAAAGGUCUUUUAUGUUGUAGUAUUUUACCGUCUAAAACAGGAAUUAGUGGUUUAAAUACGAUUGGGUCAUGCCGAAAAUUUCAAAAUUUUCCUACAUAUUAUAGUCUUUUAAAAAGAAAAGUUAGGGGCCUUAUAAGUUUAUCAGAGUCGAGGUUUGAGGGAUUCAAGCACAAGUUGUAGUGCUUGAACUCAAACUAUCGGCUCGCUCGAAAGUGUGCUCGCUCCAAGAUCGCCAAUGAGGUAAACAUUUAAGUUUUGGUAAAUGCAAGUAUGUAUAAUGUGCUUGUGAUAUAAAUAUUUAAGAUAAGUAUGUGAAGAAGAAACUAUGGGGGGUGAAACGGGGAGUUCCAGGAACCGUAUGGCUGGAAACGGACCCGGAAAAGGAUUAAAUAACCCUGAAAAAGAUCUACAGCGAAACGACAACAGGCAAGCCGUCGCCAACACCGGACCUGUGCGUCGCCGACGCCCCUACUUGGGCUGACGCCUUAAUUUCCUGUCUGCGGGGUUCUUCAGCUGACGCACAUUUUAAGCGCCGUCGCCGACGGGCUUCUUGGCCGUCGCCGACGCUGAGUGUAAACUCAGCAUGCUAUUUUGUGUUGUUUUUCGCACUUGGAGUUUCCGAGUUAUCCGAAAGCCAAUUCAAUGAU